UGGAAAACGUGCAAAUAGGAUGAUUUUACAUGCAAAAUCGAAAGAAUGUACAAAACACAACGUAUUAGUGCGAAAAACGUAGAAGUGAGAAAUGUAUAAACGGGGUUUUACUAUAUUUUAUAAGUUUUGAUUGCAUUUUUUAUCAUUUCACCAAUUAAUUAAGAUAAUAAUAUUGCCUGACUGGAAGUUGUUAAUCAAUAGAUUGUUUUAGCUUGAAAGUUUUCCUUGUUUGAGUUGUUUGUAUCGUUUAAAAAAUGCACGAUCUGAACCUUGCUGGAUGUCCAUAAUCAUAUUUUUGAAACACGUGCGCAUUUUUUUGCCCACAAAAUGAAAUAUUUAAUAAAACAGAACUACGAUAAGAUAACGCAUUUUAUGCUUAAAAUUUUCUCUAGCUUCAAAAGUAUUACUGAGGAAUAAGUUAAGUGACGUGAAAAACGCAGAUGACAUCAUGGUUAUUGGAACUGAGUUGGAAGGGAACUAGACAGUAAAACUUAGAAACGCAACUCGCAAUAUUCUCCACGACCUUCGAAAGGACUACUUAACUCAUAACAUGGAUGAAAAUAUGGUUAGGAUGUACUAAACAAACUUCAUUCACUAGCCACUCAAAAGAUAAAAUCAGGAAGAUAAGAAGCCAAAGUCUGGAAGGAAAGAGAUGUGGGAAGAACAAUCCGGAUCUCUUACAACUGGAAAUAAGACCAAAGUCUCUGUGUAAUUUAAAUCAUUUAAACCUAUUGUUUGUCAGUUUACAACGAAGUAUCGGUGGGCUGUUAGGUACGGAGUUACGGUACCUAUUAUUCCUUAAUUUAAUAUCCAUAUAUGAACUCUAAGACAAAUGGGGCAACGGUAAAUGCAGCAUAUUGCACAAGACACUUUCGUCUAGUAAUAUAUUAUUCAUCAUCUCGUGAUGAUACAAGAAAGAAAUAGGACAUCAACUAAUACAUCAUGGAUAUUCCAGUGUGCGGUAAACGAAAAUUUUAGUAAGAUGAGCUAAAAUUUUGCUCUCGUAUAGAAUUCUAUGCUUAAAAUAAGUGUUGAAGUACCGGCUGGAUGAUUGCGUGGAAGCGUGUUUUUUUUCAUCUGUAUGACUUUACGCCGCUUUUCACUCGGUGAAUACCAAGCGGCGAGGCAUUUCAAUGCCCAAUAUAGUUUACUCAUACCCUUGGU
rnacentral:lncRNA from 1 species